rnacentral:lncRNA from 1 species
GCCACAUUGUCUACUCUCUCCUUCCUUUACUGAAGCAGAAGAUAUGCAGGUACAAUCUCUCUCUCUCUCUCUCUCUCUCUCUCUCUCUCUCUCACACACACACACACACACACACACACACACAGUGGCAGAAAGAAACAGGAACUAUCACCUACAACCACUCAAGAGCAAUCACCAGUCAGAUAAGUAAGUGUAUGAGUAAGGAGGGAAGAAUAUUUCUGAACAUGCUCUGUUGCAACCAAAUGAACACUGGAUUAGAUUAUUGGAGGUGAAAGCCACCAGCAUGCAAAGUCUAGGAGUUUUGCUGCAUGUGCUGUAAAUAAAUAAGUAGUAGUAGUAGUCGUAGUAAUAAUAAUAAUAAUAAUUUAUACCCCGCCCAUCUGGCUGGGUUUCCCCAGCCACUCUGGGCGGCUUCCAGCAAAAUAUUAAAAUACAGUAAUUCAUCAAAUAUUAAAAGCUUCCCUAAACAGGGUUGCCUUCAGAUGUCUUCUAAAAGUCAGUUAGUUGUUUAUUUCUUUGACAUCUGGUGGGAGGACGUUCCACAGGGCGGGCACCACCACCGAGAAGGCCCUCUGCCUGGUUCCCUGUAACUUUGCUUCUCGCAGUGAGAGAACCGCCAGAAGGCCCUCUGAGCUAGACCUCACUGUCCGGGCAGAACGAUGGGGGUGGAGACGCUCCUUCAGGUAUACUGGGCCGAGGCCAUUUAGGGCUUUAAAGGUCAGCACCAACACUUUGAAUUGUGCCCAGAAACGUACUGAGAGCAAAUUUUAGGUCUUUCAGGACUGGUGUUAUGUGGUCUCGGCAAGCACACCCAGUCACCAGUCUAGCUGCCACAUUCUGGAUUAGUUGUAGUUUCUGGGUCACCUUCAAAGGUAGCCCCACGUAGAGCGCAUUGCAGUAGUCCAAGCGGGAGAUAACCAGAGCAAGCACCGCUCUGGCAAGACAGUCCACAGGCAGGUAAGGUCUCAGCCUGCAUACCAGAUGGAGCUGCGCUAGCUCUUGCAGAAACACUUGAAUGCCUUUGGAUGUAGUUUCACUUUUCCAAUCCAGUGCUAUAGCACAAGGUAUAAAACAACCCCUCAGAAGAUGACUUCUGCAUGCAGAAGAAUACCUUUUGAUCCAACCCACGAAAUGGUUUUUGAAUAGCUGCACGGGGAUGUAUAACAAAGUUUUUGUUUGUGGAGAAUGGAAAGACUGGGCUCCAGUCAGAAAGGGGGCUGCUUGAUUCAUUUUCCAUAAUGGCCAACUGGACGUAAAUGCUCAAUCUCAGCCACAUAUUAAUCUCAAUUUAUUGCACUUGGGUAGCCUGUCUGUGUGAUGGAAAUGGCAGACCCAAAGGAGAAAACAACUUAAAGAAAAAGAGAAAACUCAUCUGUGCUUUAUAACAGAGGAAAUGGUGACAUUACACAAAGUACAUUUGUUUACUAGUGGUGGUCAGGGAUUGAGGAGCCAUCUUCAUUUAUUUGUUAAUAAUCCACUCAACGGGCCUCUAAUGGCCUGUACAGCCUAUGUCUGGAAACUUAGUUUGACCAGACUAGAACUCGCAGCUGAAUUAGGCCAAAUAAUGUAGGAAAAUUAUUGGGGAAGCCAAAAAUAAUACAAAAGAACAUUACUCAAGACAAACACAGAAGUUCUCUUGAACAAGAGUUCUUCCCAUAAUAGAACUUUACAUAUUAUUAGUGGACCUCCACUCUUCAGUAUCACUUAGUAACGGGGUAAAUUAAAGGACAUCUCCAUUAUUUAUUGUGUGGGGUUAAUUGUGAGAUAGAUAAAAUAUAUCACACACACAAAAGUAUGGUCUUAAAGAAUACAUUAUAAUAAAGUAGCAAUUGCAUAUUAUAUUUAAACAUUGACACACACUUGUCUGUGAAAGCUUCCUUGGAAAACGUUUUCCCCCUUUUAUGAAUAAACUGAGCGAGCUGUGAAAUCAGUGGUCAUUUCAAAUAUAUCCCUUUCAUCAAAGAUUAGAGAUCUCGGAGGGAAGUUCAAUAAUCCUUUCAAAGAAUUGCAGGACAGUGUUGAAGGUGUGAAAAACGACCACUCAUGGCAAUGUCAUAAAACAAACCUGCACCAGCCAAUAACAUAUUUAUCCUCAAAAUCACAUUUGAGGGUUGCUUUAUUUCUGGUAAACUUAAUGGAUAUAGAACUUCUAUGAAACUGGGGAAUAAAACACUUGGGCCAUUAGUAAUAAUAAUAAUAAUAAUAAUAAUAAUAAUAAUAAUAAUAAUUUUUAUUUAUACCCCGCCCUCCCCAGCCAAGGCUGGGCUCAGGGCGGCUAACAAGCAAUAAUAAAAACAAGUUGAAUGAAUACAACUUAAAAACAAAAUUAAAAUACAACAUUAAAAUAUUUAAAUGUAGCCUCAUCGCAGGAGGAGAAAGGAAAAGAAAAAAGAAAGAGGGGGAGGGAAUCAAAUUGGCUCCAAGCCAAAGGCCAGGUGGAACAACUCUGUCUUACAGGCCCUGCGGAAAGAAAUCAGAUCCUGCAGGGCCCUGGUCUCAUGAGACAGAGCAUUCCACCAGGUCGGAGCCAUCACUGAAAAAGCCCUGUCCUGGUGGAAGAUAAUCUGGCUUCCUUAGGACCCGGGACCUUUAAGCUAUUCAUGGACCUUAAGGUCCUCUUCGGGACAUACUAGGAGAGGCAGUCCCAUACGUAUGAGGGUCCUAGGCUGCAUAGGGCCACCAGGCUGGAGCCAGUGUUGAAAAGGCCCUGGCUCUGGUUGAAGCUAAUCUAACUUCCUUAGGGCCCAGGACCUCUAGGGUGUUGCUAUUUAUGGACCUUGAGGCUCUCCGUGGGGCAUACCAGGAGAGGUGGUCCCGUAGGUACGAGGGUGCUAGGCUGUGAAGGGCUUUAAAGGUCAAAACCAGCACCUUAAAUCUGACCCUGUAACCACCGGGAGCCAGUGCAGCUGGUAGAGCACUGGGUGAAUAUGCUCCCAUGGCAAGGACCCCUCGCUGCAGCAUUCUGCGCCCACUGGAGUUUCUGGGACAGCUUCAAGGGCAGCCCUGCAUAGAGCGAAUUACAGUAGUCAAGCCUGUACAGUAGUAGAAAUAUUCCAGAUAUUGUCCAGGAUACAAAGAGCUGUAAGUGUGUCCUGUGGGCCAGGCAUACGACCUAUGAGUUUUUUCUCUUUCUUUUUGAUGAGUAGAUGCCCAUGCCCAAUCACAAGCAGUUGCUGUAUGUCCUGUGCACUUCAGAAAACAAUUUGGCCAUACAGUAUAAUAUAUGCUUUUAAGAUAAAGAAAAAUGGGGCCGAAGGUAAACGAAAUGGAGUAUCUGGAAGAAAGGAAUGGCUGAUUAGCUCUGAAUAACAACAACAACAACAACAAACUUUUAUUUGUAUCCCAUCCUCCCCGGCCAAGACCAAGCUCAGGGCAUCUAACAUCAAAUAGGAGCAUUCCUAUUAUAAGGUGAAGAUUCACCAAAACAGCAUGAUCAUCUGUAAAAGCCCGUUGCAUUGGAUUCAUUACUAAAUCACAGGCAGGAUAAAACAUUGGAUCCUUGAGAGAUGAUCGGUCAGUUUCCAUGUGAAUACAAAAGUCCUUCUCUCACUUAUCCCAAAUAUACAUAUAACAAUAUCAUCAGAUCACAACAGUUUACCAAUCUGAACCAUCCCAUUAUGAUUCAACAGAUUUCAGGUGUUAUUAGGAGCCAUAUACAUUACAUGAAGCAAAUGGAAGCCAUUUACCUCUCUGGAAAUUCUUUGCAGUUGAGUGAAUUCAUUCAUGAAGAUGAAGAAGAAGAGGAGGAGGAGGUGGAGGAGUUUGGACUUGAUACCCGCCUUUCACUCCCCUUAAGGAGUCUCAAAGCGGCUAACAAUCUCCUUUCCCUUCCUCCCCCACAACAAACACUCUGUGAGGUGAGUGGGGCUGAGAGACUUCAGAGAAGUGUGACUGGCCCAAGGUUAUCCAGCAGCUUCAUGUGGAGGAGCGGGGAAGCGAACCCAGUUCACCAGAUUAUGAGUCCACUGCUCUUAACCACUACACCACGCUGGCUCUCUAUGUAUGUUAAACUAUGUAUAUAAAUCACAAUAGCCUCAAAAUGGGAAGCUAUACACAAAUUGUGUUUUUUUUUCCAAAGAAGAGAAAAUGCAAGUCUUUGAGGGCUAAACCCAAAGCAAGGACAAAUGUUUCCACAUUCCUUUUCCAAAAUGUGCGGUUGCACCCACUGACUUCUCUCUGUCACUGACUAUUCAUGUUAUUCCAACAACCCAGUCCUACGCAGGUUCAGUUGUAAGUCUCGUUUUCAAUGGGCUUUACUGCCAAAUAAGCAUUCUUAGGAUUGCAGCCUUAGUCAGACAGCACAUCGCCAGACGUCUUCUGAGAUUCCUCAGUAUGAGUCCAGAAAGUCUGAUGUUAGUCUUUAUGUCACAUUACACGAAAUCUCAUACUUGCUGUCAAGGGUUGCUUGAGUUUAUAGAAAGUACAUUUUCUCGUAACAGAAAUACACUGGUUAAUGUAAGUGCUUUGAUUUAUAAUCUUGCAACAUUCUGUAAAAUGUUCAUGAAUUAGACAUACCGGAAAUCUUAUUCCUUGACUUAAUCAGAAGUUACUCAAACACACACACAGUUCUAGUUGAGCAAUAUCUGUCUGUGGGGGGAAAGCAGCUCCUUAAUUUGAGAAUCUCUUCUUUAAUGUUUCGGUUUCAUUCAUUCAAUAAAAGCCAAGGUUUUUAAAGGGUCUUCCUGAUGCCAUGAGGUCUAGACAACCUUCUCACAUCUAUGCAUAAUUCCAGGAAAGCAACAGGAUAGGGGGUUUCACUGGCCAAAAGAUUUGGUUUAGCCCACCUUAGUCCAAGGCACUUUGUAGGCUCUAACUUUUCCCCUCUUUUGACAAACGUGUAUGAAGUUUUCAGGUAUGGAAGACCCUCCAGAGAAGAUAAAGCCUGCGCAAUUACAAGCAGAUAGGUCCAGGGGCUAUUGUGCUGGGCACAUUUAAUUUUGAUUUUUUUAAAAAAGGAAAUGCCUAUACCUUUUUUACGUGUAUAGCAGAAUUGGAUUAAAUUUGCAGGCAAUGUCACUUCCUCUAACAACACAAAUACUGCCAAAUUUCUGAAGGACAGUUGCAGUCCCAACAACAGCAGCUAUCACAAUUCUUGGGGUGGAUAGAAAGGAAUCACUUGACCUCCUCUAGCAUUAUGUGGACAACUGGUCUGAAAAUUGCUAUCAGGAGAGAGGUAUCCCUGGGUGAGAAACCUGGCAAAUUGUGGGAAAAUAUGUGUGGAGUCUUUUGUGGUAGAACUUUUAAAGCUGAUUGUGGGGGGCGGUGGAGCUAAAAGUUUUCACUUUUUAGGUAAAAUAAUUAUUUCUGAUUACAAGCUUGACCUGAAAGUCACAAUGGAGUUUUCUUUCCACCCUCUCCCCACUGUGGCACCUGCUUUUUCUUCCCUGUCUCCUCACCCUAGAAUGAUUCUUUACAUUGGAAGCUCAGCGACAUUAAUUUCCCUUUCAGCAGAAGUUUGUCUGAAACAUUAUUGAAAUGUCUGGAUCAAUAAGGCACUUGAAGACUCCUUGCUUUGAUCUGUGCUAAUGAUCCCACAUCUCCUAUGGCAAACCAAAAAUUCCUCUGAGGGACCCUGCAUUCAUUCCCUCAGGAUUCAUCCCAAUCUGAUCUGCACUGUUUACUUCAGAGGUUCUAUUCACGCUGCCUCAUACAGAUCCUUUGUUGUUGUUUAGUCGUUUAGUCGUGUCUGGCUCUUCGUGACCCCAUGGACCAGAGCACGCCAGGCACUCCUGUCUUCCACUGCCUCCCACAGUUUGGUCAAACUCAUGCUGGUAGCUUCGAGAACACUGUCCAACCAUCUCGUCCUCUGUCGUCCCCUUCUCCUUGUGCCCUCCAUCUUUCCCAGCAUCAGGGUCUUUUCCAGGGAGUCUUCUCUUCUCAUGAGGUGGCCAAAGUAUUGGAGCCUCAGCUUCAGGAUCUGUCCUUCCAGUGAGCACUCAGGGCUGAUUUCCUUCAGAAUACAGAUCCUGAUUUGCCCCAAAUCCUUCCAAGGCACCCUUUUCCAGCUUUGGGUUCACUUUUUUUUCUGAAUCCAAUGCACACCCACACAACAGAAUAUAUCCUGUCCAGCUCCCCAAGUUCCCUUAAGGAAAGAUGUUUGUUUAAUAUCCUGCCUUUCCCAGAUCACAACUACAAACUGUUUUGAAGCAGUAUGUGGCAAUCCAUGUUUGCAGUGUAUACCUUUGGCUAUGUCAGUUGCUUCUCCAACACAUUCACAGAGGAAAGGACAGAAUAAAUAUUAUGAGCCCAGUCUCAAGUCUCCGAUAGCCUUCAAUACCAGACUAAGAUGUUUAUUCAGUGUGACCCAGAAAGAAGCAUGUACCACGCACACUGAAUCAUCCACACCACUUCCUGGACUACCUGAACCCAUCUUAUUUCAAUAGCUGCUGCAUUCCCACUGGGGUUUUUCGAAGGUUGGCAGCUGAAGCCCUGGAGAGAACAGGGAAGAAAGCAUUCCAUGGCCUCAUCACUUAAUUCCAGUCCCAGCCACUUUCCUUGCUGCGCCUUGAACAACUCUGGUGAAGUUCAUGAACAUUUUUCAAACCAGCUUUUGAGAGGCUCGGGAUAAUGCUAUUGGCAAAGCCAAUAGUAAGUCAAAUAAUUCAAGGUUCUGAGGGAGGAGCGGAAUUUGUUUGGACCCCCAUCUCCAAAUAAAAAUGCAAAUUAUGUGCAAGUGACCGGCGGUGUCACAGAGACUUAAUCAUAAACUGACCUUGCUGGUUGUCAGCGCUCAGCUAUAAAAACAAGCAAACCUUGAAACGUGUGUCAUGUUUCAGUGAAGAUCUUCUGAUUAAACGUUUCUUCAUUGAGUGUGCUUCCUGUGGUCAAAAUUCAAAGCAGCCUUUACCACAGUAGGGCAACGUGGUGCAACUCAUCCAAGAAGACUGCUCCUUAAACAGGCACAUGCUUUGAGCUCAUGGGGCCAUCGUAGGCUGUAGUCAAGCACUAUUUGUCAGAUCGAGAAUGCUUCACAUGUGAUAUUUCCUGUGCCUCAGGAUAGCCCAGAAAUAGCAAUAAACCCUAAUAAAUGGGUGUGCUGAUAAAUAAGAGUUAGACAGGCAGCCUGUCUACAUGGUAGACUCUCCUUAUCUAGACAAUGAACUGAAAGCAUAUGCUGCCAGAUCAUGUAUGCUCUCCCCAAAACAUGGGUGGUCCUCCAAGCUGAAACGUCACAUUUACCCCAUUCCUUCAAGAUUACAGUGUGGAUUCAUUACAGUGUGGAGUCCAGAUCUUAUACAGUAUGGUCAUUUCAAGAGGGGCUUGUCCAAGGCAUCUCUCCCAGCCAGCAUGCAGCCAACCUGCCCAAGAUGGAUCCAUCUUUCUUCUUCCUUCUUCCCAGAACACUCUGCUAAAAACUCUCCUUUUCUGUCACUUCACACCCAUGUAUCAUGCUAACCUUUGAAAUCCCCUUUGCUCACACCUCAGGGCAAGGGUGGAGGACAGUUCUCUUGCAUUGCCAAUGGUUCUGUAUUGUUUCUUCGUGGUGGCCAGGUCGUUUUGCAUAGGCUAGCCCAUAAAUUCCUCUGCAGCUUAUAUUUCUCCCUUCUGGGAUUUAGGGGGAUGGCGCUGCCAAUCAGAAGGUUGGCAGUUCUAAUCUCCGCGACGGGGUGAGCUCCCGUUGCUCGGUCCCUGCUCCUGCCAACCUAGCAGUUCGAAAGCACAUCAAAGUGCAAGUAGAUAAAUGGCAGGAAGGUAAACGGUGUUUACGUGUGCUGCUCUGGUUCACCAGAAGCAGCUUGGUCAUGCUGGCCACAUGACCCAGAAGCUGUAUGCCGGCUCCUUCGGCCAGUAAAGCGAGAUGAGCGCCGCAACCACAGAGUCGCUCAUGACUGGACCUAGUGGUCAGGGGUCCCUUUACCUUUUACCCUUCCAAAUCUAUAACAAUAUCUUGCUCAAGUUGACAUUAGGUGUUCACUCAGAAUAUUCCGUAAUGCAUUGAAACCAGCAUGGGAGGUGCUGACAUCAAAAGUUAAAAGCAGGCUAUAUUUUUCUUUUCUAUGCAUCAAUACAUGUAAUGUGAACGGGUUUCUCUCCCUCCUGCCUGCCCCUUGACAUGGUGGCCAGGCAGCUUCUCAACUCCCAGCUCCUUAUCACUUUCAAAGGUGACAAAUUACAGUUGUGUUUCCUUCCACCACGGGUUAUUUCAGACAAAAGUGGCCCGUUGGGGUAAUUGGGGUGGAAAGAGUGAUAUCUAUAACAAAAGCAAGAGAAAGUCUCAACUGUGUGCUGCUCUUGUUGGCUUAUGAAAAAUGUCGUUUAUUUCUUUAGCAGUCGUAACAACAACAGCAGCAGCAGCGCUUCUUACCACUGGAAGCACCAUAAAUAUGUCAGAGUUUGUGUGCAUGUACUGUGGUAGCUGCAUCAUAAUCUAUUCAGAGUUUCUGACUUGUUUUCCUGGUUUGUUUCAGCCGUUCCCUCUUUAGGGCCUCUUACCUCUCUAGGGCACUCCUGGAGCAGAACCACAGAGGGCUGGGAUUGCAACUCUUCCCUCACAGCCCCAGAGAUCAUAAAUCAGCUGCAAAAAAGCAACUUUUACUGAAGUGCAUGGACAUUGCUUUAAAAACAAGAAAACAAAAAAACACCCUUCUGUCUCUCCCAGUAAGGAAAAGCUGGUUGGCGGAGUUGGUGGGAGAAAAAUAGCUCUUCAAAAUAUUAUGCGUUUGUUUUAAAAUAAAGAAUAGUUUGUGCCAGGAAGCAUGUAACAGGUAAGACUUCUGUGGGAUUAAACUCCAGGGCUGUGGGUCUCACAUUUUCUACAGGGUUUCAUUCUCCAAGGGCAAAAACUACAUGUUGCAAAGCAACCCCGCUGCUCAAAAAUCUUGAUCAUUCCACUUUAAGGCUAUAGAAAUAGGGGCAACUGUGUGUCUACCUUGCCAAG